CCUACGGGUGUCAGCAGUGGGGGAUAUUGCACAAUGGGGGAAACCCUGAUGCAGCGACGCCGCGUGAGUGAUGAAGUAUUUCGGUAUGUAAAGCUCUUUCAGCAGGGACGAAAAUGACAGUACCUGACCAAUAAGCCCCGGCUAACUACGUGCCAGCAGCCGCGGUAAUCCGUAGGGGGCAAGCGUUAUCCGGAUUUACUGGGUGUAAAGGGAGCGUAGACGGGUAUGUAAGUCUGAAGUGAAAGCCUGGGGCCGAACCCCGGGACUGCAUUUGAAACUGUGUAACUGGAGUGCUGGAGGGGAAGGCGGAAUGCUUGGUGUAGCGGUUAAAUGCGUAGAUAUCAGGAGGAACACCGACGGCGAAGGCGGCCUGCUGGACUGAAACUGACGUUGAGGCUCGAAAGCGUGGGGAGCAAACAGGAUUAGAUACCCCAGUAGUC
rnacentral:rRNA from 1 species